AUAAAUUCAAUUCUGUCAAAACUCAAUAACAAACAUCCACAUAGAGUAGACCGUAGUUAUUGAUGCAAAUGAGAUCCACAUGUCAAUUACCCAUCAAUAUAUUUCAAAUCAAAUCCGCCUGCAUUUAUACGUUGUAACGGGUCGUCCUUCAGUCUAACCAUUGGUAGCCAAAGAUCACGCUCUCUUCUUUUAAGCCGAGUGAGAUUGCCGAACAUAGUCGAAGAACAGAAUCCUUUAAGUUAGUUUGAAGGAAAGAGAAAGAUAGAAUGCUGACUUGGGCUAGAACGAACUAAAUAGUUAAAUGACCCAAGAUUCCGAGUAAUCCCGAAGAAUUCUCGGGAAAUGACGUACUUCCGCUUACGUUGAGAUUCUCUUCCCUAAUCUGAGGAUUACAGGGCUCAAUCACUUUGUCCCAGUUCGUUGAGUAGAGUGGUAGUGACGCGAUUUUGCUCCGUUUACUGAAAUUGUUUAAAGCCAGAAAAUAAAGUGUGUGAGUUUAUCGUGUGCGGCAUAGAUUUGUGUGCUGAUAGAAAGAUAAGGUUAUCAUCCGUACGCUCGCUGGUCAUCGUUCGCUCACUGCGUCACUCGCCACAUCCUAGAGGACAAAUUUGCCCGACGCACGAUUUUCCGUCGGAAGGGAGUCGAUCCGCUACCACAUCGCUCCAUUGGAAGUAAUCUUCCGGUGGCCUAAGGAAGUCCACGUGUCGGUGAAACACCGAUCAUUCGACCGGCAGAAAUACCAGCAGCAUCAAAAAAGCCCUCUUCAGCUGGUUAGAUUCGGGCGAAUGCAGUAAACCCUGUAUCAUCGUUCAUCAGUCGCUGAGUCGGUGAGUCCGUUCCGUUUUACCUAUUUGAUCAAGUAGACGUCCAUGAAUACCGAAACCGAUAUUAAUUGAUAACCGCUGGAUUGAUUUUCGGACCCCGCUUAUAGACGGGCGCGUCCAUGACGUGAUCACGUUUACGAUCCAUGUGCACAUGUGACUGCGUUCUCGGAAGCACCCUCCGAAACGCACACAAAUAAUUACACCCGGGUGUCCAAGCUUUGACCAUUCAUCGCUUGCCGCUCCUGAAGAUGUCAUCAUAACCUGUGGUUGGGUCGAACAAUGAGAUAAAAAAGCACACUAACGAACUAGUAGAUAGGGAUAGAAAGAAAACGCACACAAUAGAAAGCUAGGCCUAGGAAUCAGCAUGCAGAAAUAAAUUAUACUUACCGUGAAAUCAUGUCCAAUUUACUAAAUACAUUACAAUCUAUGCUUAAAGUUAAAUAAAUGUUUUUUGCUAGUGUAGCUAGAUAGAGUUUUUAGUUGACUGAAAUGUUUCCACGUCACUUCGGUUAUGUUGAGUCCGCUUUCUUUACCACAUGGUAAAUUUGAAUCUGUUAAGAAUAAUCUCUUCCACUUUAGUAGCGGUAU